GUGAGGAAUUUUGCGCAAUGGGGGAAACCCUGACGCAGCAACGCCGCGUGAGUGAUGAAGGCUUUCGGGUCGUAAAGCUCUGUCAAGUGGGAAGAAUAUGCCCUGUGAUAAUACCAUGGGGCACUGACGGUACCACUGAAGGAAGCACCGGCUAACUCCGUGCCAGCAGCCGCGGUAAUACGGGGGGUGCAAGCGUUAUUCGGAAUCAUUGGGCGUAAAGGGCGCGUAGGCGGCCCCUUAAGUCAGAUGUGAAAGCCCUCAGCUUAACUGAGGAAGUGCAUUUGAAACUAAGGGGCUUGAGUAUGGGAGAGGGAAGCGGAAUUCCUGGUGUAGCGGUGAAAUGCGUAGAUAUCAGGAGGAACACCGGUGGCGAAGGCGGCUUCCUGGACCAAUACUGACGCUGAGGCGCGAAGGCGUGGGGAGCAAACAGGAUUAGAUACCCCAGUAGUCC
rnacentral:rRNA from 1 species